UACAGAGGGUGCGAGCGUUGUCCGGAAUCACUGGGCGUAAAGGGCGCGUAGGUGGCGCCCCAAGUCCGUGGUGAAAGCUCGAUGCUCAACAUCGAGUCGGCCACGGAAACUGGGGGGCUCGAGCACUGUAGAGGCAGAUGGAAUUCCGGGUGUAGCGGUGGAAUGCGUAGAGAUCCGGAAGAACACCAGUGGCGAAGGCGGCCCGCCUGGGCAGUGGCUGACGCUGAGGCGCGACAGCGUGGGGAGCAAACGAG
rnacentral:rRNA from 1 species